rnacentral:rRNA from 1 species
UACGUAGGGUGCGAGCGUUAAUCGGAAUUACUGGGCGUAAAGCGUGCGCAGGCGGUGAUGUAAGACAGGUGUGAAAUCCCCGGGCUUAACCUGGGAACUGCAUUUGUGACUGCAUCGCUGGAGUGCGGCAGAGGGGGAUGGAAUUCCGCGUGUAGCAGUGAAAUGCGUAGAGAUGUGGAGGAACACCAAUGGCGAAGGCAGCCUUCUGGGCCAACACUGACGCUCAUGCACGAAAGCGUGGGGAGCAAACAGG